rnacentral:rRNA from 2 species
UAUUUCAUUAAGCGGAGGAAAAGAAACCAACAGGGAUUGCCUUAGUAACGGCGAGUGAAGCGGCAAAAGCUCAAAUUUGAAAUCUGGCACUUUCAGUGUCCGAGUUGUAAUUUGAAGAAGGUAACUUUGGAGUUGGCCCUUGUCUAUGUUCCUUGGAACAGGACGUCACAGAGGGUGAGAAUCCCGUGCGAUGAGGUGUCCAAUUCUAUGUAAAGUGCUUUCGAAGAGUCGAGUUGUUUGGGAAUGCAGCUCUAAGUGGGUGGUAAAUUCCAUCUAAAGCUAAAUAUUGGCGAGAGACCGAUAGCGAACAAGUACAGUGAUGGAAAGAUGAAAAGAACUUUGAAAAGAGAGUGAAAAAGUACGUGAAAUUGUUGAAAGGGAAGGGCUUGAGAUCAGACUCGGUAUUUUGCAAGCCUAUCCUUCGUGGAGAGGUUUAUUAGCAGCUUACCGGGCCAGCAUCGGUUUGGAUGGUAGGAUAAUGGCAUUGGAAUGUGGCUCUUCGGAGUGUUAUAGCCUUUGUUGAUACUGCCUAUCUAGACCGAGGACUGCGUCUUUGACUAGGAUGCUGGCGUAAUGAUCUUAAGCCGCCCGUCUU